rnacentral:rRNA from 1 species
AGUGAACGCUGGCGGUAGGCCUAACACAUGCAAGUCGAACGGCAGCACAGUAAGAGCUUGCUCUUACGGGUGGCGAGUGGCGGACGGGUGAGGAAGAUAUCGGAAUCUACUUUUUCGUGGGGGAUAACGUAGGGAAACUUACGCUAAUACCGCAUACGACCUACGGGGGAAGGCAGGGGAUCUUCGGACCUUGCGGGAUUGAAUGAGCCGAUGUCGGAUUAGUUAGUUGGCGGGGUAAAGGCCCACCAAGGCGACGAUCCGUAGCUGGUCUGAGAGGAUGGUCCGCCACACUGGAACUGAGACACGGUCCAGACUCCUACGGGAGGCAGCAGUGGGGAAUAUUGGACAAUGGGCGCAAGCCUGAUCCAGCCAUACCGCGUGGGUGAAGAAGGCCUUCUGGUUGUAAAGCCCUUUUGUUGGGAAAGAAAAGCAGCAGGUUAAUACCCCGCUGUUCUGACGGUACCCAAAGAAUAAGCACCGGCUAACUUCGUG